rfam:Triticum aestivum genome assembly, contig: Triticum_aestivum_CS42_TGACv1_scaffold_640827_T_7AS-0.155882_3B-0.094407
AACAUACUCCCUCUGUCCGGAAAUACUUGUCGGAGAAAUUUAUAAAAAUGAAUGUAUCUAUAACUAAAAUACGUCUACAUACAUUCAUUCCUCCGACGAGUAUUUCCGGACGGAGGGAGUACUAU